rnacentral:rRNA from 1 species
UACGAAGGGGGCUAGCGUUGUUCGGAUUUACUGGGCGUAAAGCGCACGUAGGCGGAUCGUUAAGUCAGGGGUGAAAUCCUGGAGCUCAACUCCAAGAACUCGUCCUUGAUACUGGCGAUCUUGAGUCCGGAAGAGGUGAGUGGAACUCCUAGUGUAGAGGUGGAAUUCGUAGAUAUUAGGAAGAACACCAGUGGCGAAGGCGGCUCACUGGUCCGGUACUGACGCUGAGGUGCGAAAGCGUGGGGAGCAAACAGG